GGCUCGGUGGCAGAUGGUCUGCAUGUGCUGUUCAUAGUUGCUCUUGUCGUGGAUUUGCGCACCUCGCCUGUUCGAUUCAGGCCCGAGUCA